UCAUGUUGUUUAAUUCGAUGAUACGCGAAGAACCUUACCAGGUCUUGACAUCCCUUGCAAAGCUAUGGAGACAUAGUGGAGGUUAUCAAGGAGACAGGUGGUGCAUGGUUGUCGUCAGCUCGUGUCGUGAGAUGUUGGGUUAAGUCCCGCAACGAGCGCAACCCUUAUUGCUAGUUACCAUCAUUAAGUUGGGGACUCUAGCGAGACUGCCAGUGAUAAACUGGAGGAAGGUGGGGAUGACGUCAAAUCAUCAUGCCCCUUAUGACCUGGGCUACAAACGUGAUACAAUGGCUGAAACAAAGGGCAGCGAAGCAGUGAUGUGGAGCGAAACCCAAAAAAGCAGUCUCAGUUCGGAUUGAAGUCUGCAACUCGACUUCAUGAAGUUGGAAUCGCUAGUAAUCGUAGAUCAGAACGCUACGGUGAAUACGUUCUCGGGGUUU
rnacentral:rRNA from 1 species